rnacentral:lncRNA from 1 species
AUGUAUCAUGUAACUGUUCUAUUGAAAAAUCAUAUUCAAGUUUAGAAUCUACCUCAUCCUCAUUGGCCAUGUAGCAGAUUUGGGCCGUCUCUUGUUGAUCUUCCUCUUCCGAACUUGACUCAUCACUUUCACUCCAUUCAGCCAUGAGGUUCCUCUUUUUAAGUUUUCUUGUCAUCCAUUUCAAUUCCGGGCAAUCUAUCUUGAAGUGCCCGGGCUUGUUACACUCAUAGCAUAUUGACACUUCGUUUUCCUUUUCUUUUUUCUUUUUCCCUUUUUCCGGCUUGAUCUACCUCUUACGAAAGGUUUUCUUUUAUGGAAUUUCUUUUUACCUUUUAUGAAUUUUCUGAAUUUUCUUGCAAGCAUUGCCAUUCCUUCUUCAUCAUAUUCCUCCUCAUCAUUGGACUCCUC